AAAUUGGUACAGAACACCCGUCGACUCAUCGAACCAUGGUAUCAACCUCCCAAUCUCGUAUCAGCUUUCCACUUUUGAGAAUUCCCAGACUCGUCUGGACCUUUUCUGCUCCAAAAUUGGUACAGAACACCCGUCGACUCAUCGAACCAUGGUAUCAACCUCCCAAUCUCGUAUCAGCUUUCCACUUUUGAGAAUUCCCAGACUCGUCUGGACCU
rnacentral:lncRNA from 1 species